rnacentral:rRNA from 1 species
AACGAACGCUGGCGGCAUGCCUAACACAUGCAAGUCGAACGAGACCUUCGGGUCUAGUGGCGCACGGGUGCGUAACGCGUGGGAAUCUGCCUUUGCUUCGGAAUAACAGUUAGAAAUGACUGCUAAUACCGGAUGAUGUCUUCGGACCAAAGAUUUAUCGGCAAAGGAUGAGCCCGCGUAGGAUUAGGUAGUUGGUGGGGUAAAGGCCUACCAAGCCGACGAUCCUUAGCUGGUCUGAGAGGAUGAUCAGCCACACUGGGACUGAGACACGGCCCAGACUCCUACGGGAGGCAGCAGUGGGGAAUAUUGGACAAUGGGCGCAAGCCUGAUCCAGCAAAUGCCGCGUGAGUGAUGAAGGCC